rnacentral:rRNA from 1 species
GACGUAGGGCGCGAGCGUUUGUCCGGAUUUAUUGGGCGUAAAGAGCUCGUAGGCGGCUUGUCGCGUCGAAUGUGAAAACUCGGGGGCUCAACCCCCGCGCUUGCAUUCGAUACGGGCAGGCUCGAGUUCGGUAGGGGGAGACUGGAAUUCCUGGUGUAGCGGGUGAAAUGCGCAGAUAUCAGGAGGAACACCGGUGGCGAAGGCGGGUC